rnacentral:rRNA from 1 species
AUUCCAGCUCCAAUAGCGUAUAUUAAAGUUGUUGCAGUUAAAACGCUCGUAGUCGGAUUUCGGGGCGGGCCGACCGGUCUGCCGAUGGGUAUGCACUGGCCGGCGCGUCCUUCCACCCGGAGACCGCGCCUACUCUUAACUGAGCGGGCGCGGGAGACGGGUCUUUUACUUUGAAAAAAUCAGAGUGUUUCAAGCAGGCAGUCGCUCUUGCAUGGAUUAGCAUGGGAUAAUGAAAUAGGACUCUGGUGCUAUUUUGUUGGUUUGCAUACCAAAUUAAUGAUCAACAGGAACAGUUUGAGGAUAUUCGUAUGAACAUGUCAGAGGUGAAAUUCUUGGAUUUUGAUCAGACGAACUACUGCGAAAGCAUUUAUCAAGGAUGUUUUCAUUG